AACGCAUAUUGCACUCUCCGUUCUGCGGAGAGUAUGCUUGUUUCAGGGUCUUUUGGAAAAAUCCGGAAAUUUAUUUUCUGGGAGAUGAACUUUUCGCAUUUUUGCUAUGCGAUGGUUUAAAAUUUAAUGCGUUUGCAACUGAUAGGACGCGUAAUAGUAGUAAAAUGCUAAUAUCGUAACUUGUCGGUUGGUAUUAAACGUGUUGUCUGAUUUCUUCGGAUUGUGAUCAAACAAUAAGUCUACACAGACCUGAAAUCAAGCAAGAUUACCCGCUGAACUUAA
rnacentral:misc_RNA from 1 species